rnacentral:misc_RNA from 1 species
GUUAUAGACGCCGGUCAUGCCAUCCCGCGAACUCAUCGCCUGCAAGCGUCGCUUAUGUUCCGCUAAUUUAAUGGCCGUUUGGUAACUUACCCAGGCGAACAGAAGCGGAUACAACAUAAUGACGGGCAAAGAGAGCGUGACUUCCAGCGACGAGCUUCGCAUAGCGACGGGUAGCCCGGUAAGCUGCAACGUCACCAGACAUGACGCCAGCAAAAGGCCCAUUCCGACAGUGAAUAGCCGCCGCCCGCCAGCGCCCAUCAGAUUCAUGC